CGGGCGAGUAACACGUAGCUAACCUACCCCAGGGAUGGGGAUAACCCCUCGAAAGGGGGGCUAAUACCCAAUAAAGAGUCCUGUAUAAUGAUGGGGCUCCAAAGGCCUUAUGGCGCCCUGGGAUGGGGCUGCGUCCCAUCAGGUAGUUGGUGAGGUAACGGCUCACCAAGCCUACGACGGGUAGCCGGCCUGAGAGGGUGGCCGGCCACAGCGGGACUGANACACGGCCCGCACCCCUACGGGGGGCAGCAGUGGGGAAUAUUGGGCAAUGGCCGGAAGGCUGACCCNAGCGACGCCGCGUGGNUGGAUGAAGCCCUUCGNGGUGUAAACACCUGUCAGGGGGGAAGAUAAUGACGGUACCCCCGGAGGAAGGGACGGCUAACUACGUGCCAGCAGCCGCGGUAAUACGUAGGUNCCCGAACGUUGCGCGAAGGGCGAAUUCGUUUAAACCUNCAGGACUAGUCCCUUUAGUGAGGGUUA
rnacentral:rRNA from 1 species